GCUGACCAGGAGGCCAGUGGUGCCAGGAAAGGCACCAGGGCCACAGGCAGGGGCUUAAGAGGACCCAGGGGACAGGAAGCUCAGUGUUUGGUGCCCCUGGUAAGGGAAGCACAAACCUUGCCCUGGGCUAGGUCUUUUCCAGAGCCCUGGUGGAUGAGGGAUGUCCCGGGGGCUCUCUGGGCCAGGGGGUCAGUUCCAGAAUGACACAGUUAGCAUCUACCUGCUGAAGGUGGGGGCAGGGGGCAGGAGGUAUUGAUUGGCUGAGAGGUGCAGGAAGGGGACUAGACCCCCUCAGAGUCUCACCCUGACUCCCAGACCUUCACCUGCUGAGACCCAGCAGGCUGUGUGGAAGCCAGACCUGACCAUAGGAGCCAGGCUUAGCCUUCCCAGCAGCGCCAAUUCUGAGGUUUCUCCCACCCACAGAACUCCUUCCUAGCCAGGCAUGUGGUCCAGGCACUUCCCCUGGACCUGGUUGCUGGCUGUCAAUCCCAAAUAACCACAGGGCUCCGCAGAAUUCCAGCUCCCUAUAUUGCCAGCCUCCUCCACCACCCCUGACCACUGACUCACCCCUCCUCCAGACUCUAUCCCCUUGUCUGGGUUCAGGAACAAAUGCCCUCCAUUAACAACGAUAAUCAGUGGAAUGGAAUCUUCCACCUCAUAAAGUACAUCUAUUUUGGCCACGUGGCCUCCACAGUUAGGCCUGUGAACUGAGAAAGUCUGAUGACGUGGCCUCUGGACCUGCUGUCCUCUUGUUGAGGGCUGGGAGCCCUGGGGCCUCAAGAGACAUCGGUGGCCAGAGGAACUCCAGCCCACCUGGGGAUAAACUUUUGCUCCAGUACUAGCCCUGAGGAAGCAGAAUUGGAAAGAACACCUGAUUCUUCAGAAGCCCUGCAGAGCCUUCUAGUGGGAUUUGGGAUUAUCUGCUCCAGGGAUCACUCAGUCAGUUUUCCACCUAUUAAAUAGUUGAGAUUUGACUACCGGCUAAUCUUUCUGAGCCUCAAUUUCCCCAGCUUGUCAAAGAGACAGUUGGUCCCAGCUGACCCCAAAGGUCCCUCCCAGCUCUGAAGCUUGAAGUUGUGUGCUGUGCUAAGUCGCUUCAGUUAUGUCUAACUCUUUGCAACCCCAUGGACUGUAGCCCACCAGGCUCCUCUGUCCAUGAGAUUCUGCAAGCAGAAGUACUGGAAUGGGCUGCCAUGCCCUUCUCUAGGGGAUCUUCCUGAUCCAGGGAUUGAACUGGCAUCUCUUAGAUCUACCAGCAUUGGCAAGUGGGUUCUUUACCACUAGCGCCAUGUGGGAAGCCCUUUCAACUAAUUCUCUCUGUGUCAUCCUGAGGCUGGACAAGUCCCACCCUAGAUUCUCGGUGGCCAAUUCCAAGGGGACCUGUGCGCUCCUCUAAGCCUUGCAGAGCCCUGCUUCCCCAGCAGCUGUAGGGUCCCUCCCCAUCCCUGGGCCGGAGCUCAGCCAGUUGCUAGGCGGAUUCCAUACCACUGAGCCACCAGGGAAGUCCCAUCUGUGCAUCUCUGAUUUAUCUCUUCAACAAGGCCAGGAGGGCCCAGCCUUGCCGGCUUGAGGACUCAGUAAAUAUUUGUGGACUUAUCAACUGAUUGAUUGGUGCGGUCAGACAGGAGGCCUGGGACAAAGAUGCCUGAGAACUAAGAAGUGUCCCUCUCACCCUGGGCCCAGUGUCAGGGAGCUGGAGACACACAGGUGGAGACUCCAGGGCCCAGCAGGUCAUCGUGGUUCAGUAGCAGGCCCCCUGGGCUUCCCAGGUGGCACUAGCGGUAAAGAACCCACCUGCCAAUGCAGGAGAUGCAAGAGACGCGGGUUCCAUCCCUGGGUUGGGAAGAUCCCCUGGAGGAGAAAAUGGCAACCCACUCCCGUAUUCUUGCCUGGAGAAUCCCAUGGACAGAGGAGCCUGGCAGGCUAUAGUCCAUGGGGUUGCAAAGAAUCGGACACAACUGAAGUGACUUAGCA
ensembl:lncRNA